rnacentral:tRNA from 1 species
CGGAUUAAAUUUAAAGUUAAGAUCUUUAUUUACACUGAAGAAAAUUUUGUGCAAAUCAAUAUAAUCUGA